CAUGUUGAUUCUGCCAGUAGUCGUAUGCUUGUCUCAAAGAUCAAGUCAUGCACGUACAAAUACAUUCCGUAUUAAGGUGAAACCAUGAAUGCCUUAUUAAAUCAGUUAUAAUUCCUUAGACCAUGCCUUACUUUUUGGGUAACUGUGGCAAUUCUCGAGCUAAUACAUGCAGCACAGCUCCGACCUUCUGGGGAUGAGUGCUUUUAUUAGACCAAAACCAAUCAGGCAUCAUAUCCAUAUUAUGUGGUGAAUCUUUAUAACUUCGGGCUGAUCACACAGGUUCAUCCUGACAAUAUGUCUUUCAGAUUUCUUCCUUAUGAACUGUUGAUGUAAGUUAUGUGCCUUCCAUGGUCGUAAUGGGUUACGGAGAAUGAGUCUUCAGUUCAGGAGAGGGAGCCUGUUACCACGUCCAAGGAAGGCAGCAGGCGUUCAAAUUACCCACUCUCAGAAUGAGCAGGUAGUAAUGAAAAAUAAUAAUACAGGACUCUUUUGAAAUCUUGUAAUUGGAAUGAGUACACUGUAAAUCCUUUAAUGAGGAUCAGUUGGAGGUCAAGUCUUGUACCAAUAGCUGUGGUAAUUCUAGCUCCAAUAGCUUACCUU
rnacentral:ncRNA from 1 species